CAACAGGUUUUCCCUUACUUUGUCCGUGUCAACAAACAAUUCGAAAUACCUCGACUUUUUCAGAACAGGUCCGAGUCAAAUAGCAAUGAUUCGAAGCACUUAUUUUUCCAUUACACUAUUUCGUGCUAG
rnacentral:rRNA from 1 species